GGGAGAUCACCUGUGCUUGCUCUUUGGUGUGUGGAUGAGCUUCAGACGUAGCAGGGCUGGUCCUCUGUGUGCAUGAAAUGUGAAGUGUGCCUGCAGUCCAACCACCUCAUUCUGAGCCCCCGCACCAAGUGCAGAUGGAUUGGUUCUUUGGCCAUUCACCUUACCUCCAAGGAUCAGCUCUGGCGUGUGCUGUGUUCAUAGACCUGUUAGCCCAAGUGCCUCUGAGAGGAGUUGAGUCUGGGGUGUUGAAAAUUGCUGGAUGUGACGCAGAUUGCACCAGUUCUUUGUGUGCCGUGGCAUGAUUUCCUUCACCCAGAAGGACCAUCUGAGGCUGAGAGGUUAUCUGGCUGCUUAUGCUGUACAGACUGUAGCUUUGCCAUCUACACUUGCUCCCUCACUCUGAAAAAUCAACCGGUUAGCUGGCAUUGGAUGCGAAUUUCCCAUUCAUGCCACCUGGUGCAGUGCCCCGGCUGACAUCCCAAUCUAAAUGAGGUCUAUGAAGGUGGCUACAGCAACUGAAUCUUUGUUGUUUGUUCAGACGUUCAGGUGCACGAUGUGAGGGGCUGCGGCCUCUGUUUAUGACCUUGUACUGAAGAUGACCACUCUUUUUACAACAUCUCGGCAGGACUUUGUGACAAUGUUGUUACCCACUUUCAGAGCAGAGGUUGUGGAGGGCUGUGGUCCUGAGGCGUCGCACAAACCGCACCCAGCUCCACUUUCCCUGGAUGCAGCCAGCCCUACUACUGUGAGAUUAAUGAGCCAAAUUCUGUUCUCAGUGAUAUUUGUGGAGUUGUCCCAUAUUUGUCCUGAAUAAAUCAGAAUCAGUCUUACUCUGCUCAGGAAAGCCAACGAGGUUUUGGUCCGCAUUAAGUCAAUGGGAAUUUUGCCAUUGUCUGCAGCAGGCCUGGGUUUCACUUGCAAAUAACGACUUUCAAUUUAAUUUAACUGCUUCCUACUGGAGAAGGCAGUGCAGUCCCAAACCUGAAGUAAACACCUGGUACCAUCUAAAACAGGCAGCUCCCAUCUAAAGGUGCGUUGUGUUUCCCAUAAAGGCUGCGGCAAUAUUCAGUUGGCCAGGAUGUUUUCCUUUCAUGCUAAAUCAACGGCUUGAUGACAAAGCUUGAUGAUGACAAAAUAUGAGGACUUCUAUGUAAUUAUGGCAACGACACCACCUGCUUCUAAUUAAGCUGCCAAAACAUUUGGUCUAAAAUGGUGCAAUGAAUAAAGAAAAAAAAAUCUGAUAUUUUGGCAAUGCAACAACAGGCUGGCUUUCCUCACGUAAUUAGUUUUAACAAAGUAUUGUUAAUCUGUUUUCUGAUUAAUAGACUAUUUAAUCUUAUAGCACUGUGACAAGACUCUGAGCUGCCUCUGGUUUAAAUUUCCACCAAAAGAGCUAACAUUUCUAGCACUUUUAAGGAUAUACUUAUGUGAGAAAUGUUAUAGUUUCUUAUUAUUUUCAUUAUUCUUCAUGAGAGCCCCAAAGGUUACAUUCUUUGAAUUCACUGAACUUUAAAGGCUUUUAUUAAACUGGAAGCCAC
ensembl:lncRNA